UACGGAGGGAGCUAGCGUUAUUCGGAAUUACUGGGCGUAAAGCGCACGUAGGCGGUUUUCUAAGUUAGAGGUGAAAGCCUGGAGCUCAACUCCAGAAUUGCCUUUAAGACUGGAUCACUUGAACGUCGGAGAGGUGAGUGGAAUUCCGAGUGUAGAGGUGAAAUUCGUAGAUAUUCGGAAGAACACCAGUGGCGAAGGCGGCUCACUGGACGACUGUUGACGCUGAGGUGCGAAAGCGUGGGGAGCAAACAGG
rnacentral:rRNA from 1 species